rnacentral:rRNA from 1 species
GCUUAACACAUGCAAGUCGAGGGGCAGCAUGGUCUUAGCUUGCUAAGGCCGAUGGCGACCGGCGCACGGGUGAGUAACACGUAUCCAACCUGCCGUCUACUCUUGGACAGCCUUCUGAAAGGAAGAUUAAUACAAGAUGGCAUCAUGAGUCCGCAUGUUCACAUGAUUAAAGGUAUUCCGGUAGACGAUGGGGAUGCGUUCCAUUAGAUAGUAGGCGGGGUAACGGCCCACCUAGUCUUCGAUGGAUAGGGGUUCUGAGAGGAAGGUCCCCCACAUUGGAACUGAGACACGGUCCAAACUCCUACGGGAGGCAGCAGUGAGGAAUAUUGGUCAAUGGGCGAGAGCCUGAACCAGCCAAGUAGCGUGAAGGAUGACUGCCCUAUGGGUUGUAAACUUCUUUUAUAAAGGAAUAAAGUCGGGUAUGGAUACCCGUUUGCAUGUACUUUAUGAAUAAGGAUCGGCUAACUCCGUGCCAGCAGCCGCGGUAAUACGGAGGAUCCGAGCGUUAUCCGGAUUUAUUGGGUUUAAAGGGAGCGUAGAUGGAUGUUUAAGUCAGUUGUGAAAGUUUGCGGCUCAACCGUAAAAUUGCAGUUGAUACUGGAUAUCUUGAGUGCAGUUGAGGCAGGCGGAAUUCGUGGUGUAGCGGUGAAAUGCUUAGAUAUCACGAAGAACUCCGAUUGCGAAGGCAGCCUGCUAAGCUGCAACUGACAUUGAGGCUCGAAAGUGUGGGUAUCAAACAGGAUUAGAUACCCUGGUAGUCCACACGGUAAACGAUGAAUACUCGCUGUUUGCGAUAUACAGCAAGCGGCCAAGCGAAAGCGUUAAGUAUUCCACCUGGGGAGUACGCCGGCAACGGUGAAACUCAAAGGAAUUGACGGGGGCCCGCACAAGCGGAGGAACAUGUGGUUUAAUUCGAUGAUACGCGAGGAACCUUACCCGGGCUUAAAUUGCAGAUGAAUUACGGUGAAAGCCGUAAGCCGCAAGGCAUCUGUGAAGGUGCUGCAUGGUUGUCGUCAGCUCGUGCCGUGAGGUGUCGGCUUAAGUGCCAUAACGAGCGCAACCCUUGUUGUCAGUUACUAACAGGUUCCGCUGAGGACUCUGACAAGACUGCCAUCGUAAGAUGUGAGGAAGGUGGGGAUGACGUCAAAUCAGCACGGCCCUUACGUCCGGGGCUACACACGUGUUACAAUGGGGGGUACAGAGGGCCGCUACCACGCGAGUGGAUGCCAAUCCCCAAAACCUCUCUCAGUUCGGACUGGAGUCUGCAACCCGACUCCACGAAGCUGGAUUCGCUAGUAAUCGCGCAUCAGCCACGGCGCGGUGAAUACGUUCCCGGGCCUUGUACACACCGCCCGUCAAGCCAUGGGAGCCGGGGGUACCUGAAGUGCGUAACCGCGAGGAGCGCCCUAAGGUAAAACUGGUGACUGGGGCUAA